AUUGAACGCUGGCGGCAGGCCUAACACAUGCAAGUCGAGCGAGCGGCGGACGGGUGAGUAAUGUAUGGGGACUGCCCGUUAGAGGGGGAUAACUCCUGGAAACGGUGGCUAAUUCCGCAUCCUCUCGGAUAACCCAUAUGGGAUUAGCUAGUAGGUGGGGUAAAGGCGCACCUAGGCGACGAUCUGUAGCUGGUCUGAGAGGAUGAUCGGCCCGCCAGGGCCGAAGAAACGGCCCACACGCCUACGGAGGCGGCAGUGGGGAAUAAUGCACAAUGGGCGCAAGCCUACUGCAGCGAUGCCGCGUGUAUGAAGAAGGUAUUACGGUUGUAGAGUACUUCUGGAGGGGAGGCGUUACCCGCAGAUGAACCACCGGCUACCUCCGUACCAGCAGCCGCAGUAAUAC
rnacentral:rRNA from 1 species